rnacentral:rRNA from 1 species
UACGUAGGGUGCGAGCGUUGUCCGGAAUUAUUGGGCGUAAAGAGCUCGUAGGCGGUUUGUCGCGUCGAAUGUGAAAACCCGGGGCUCAACCCCGGGCCUGCAUUCGAUACGGGCAGACUAGAGUUCGGUAGGGGAGUCUGGAAUUCCUGGUGUAGCGGUGAAAUGCGCAGAUAUCAGGAGGAACACCGGUGGCGAAGGCGGUUCUCUGGGCAUGUCCUGACGCUGAGGAGCGAAAGUGUGGGGAGCGAACAGG